rnacentral:lncRNA from 1 species
CAAUGACGUUUCUUCUUCCUAAGCUACCGGACGCACAUCGCUACUUCAUCAGUUAUGUUAAUAAUCGAAUCUUGUUCAUCUUCUUCGUUCGUCUGUUGUUUUGAAUCUAGAAUUUGUUGAUGAUUCGAUUUAUGAUUGGUUCUGAUUGAAGGAGUUAGGGUUGAGUAAUAGGAAAAUUAAGGUGUUGAGAUGUGCGAAUGAUGAUAAGUUAAAUUGGAUGUAAGUUAUCCACGUAAUAACCUUGAAAUUGAUGAGUUACGUGUUGUUGAUUUGAUAUAGCAAAGUUUCAUCCAGAUUUGUCUUUGUCUUUGAGAGUUCGUAUAGAAGUUCAGAUGCUUAUCGUCGAAUAACAAUUACUCCGUCUCCGUCAUGAUGGCGACUAAAACCUUAUGUGCUGAUGAAUUCGUCGAAACUCAACGACGCGAAAAGAAGCCCUAGAAGCUAAGGACCUCAUGGUUUUCUGGUGACGAGCUCAGACGGGUCCGGAGGCGGCGCAACCAUGGUACUCGGGCCUGAUGACGACAUGUUGAACGAAUCCGACGUAGAGCACCAGAUCCAAAAUUUCCAAAGGGUUACGGAGUUUAGGAUUUCUUCACAAAUGGUGACAUAUCGUCUCUUAUCAUAUGAAAAGAUGUAGCAAAAAUCUAGUUCUUGUUGUAUUUAUGAAUACUAGUUCUUGUUAUAUUUAUUAAUAGUUAUUCUAUGAAUCAUGGGGACAAAGUAGAUUUUUUAAAAUUGUUGCUGAAGACCUUGUAGUUUAUUUGGCAAAUGAAUAAUUUACACUGGCUUUUUAUACAUGUUACAAUUGCU